ACAGAGCAGAUUUUGGGGCCGUUUGGGGGCACACAGUGCAGAUUUUGGGAUUCUGUGGGGCUGUGGGACCCCCGUGGGUUGUUGGGGGGGUCCUGGGCUGUCAUCCCUCCCCCCUUUUUUGACACUUUUGUGGCCGUGCAGGCGACGCAUGCAGGGCUGGGCUGUGCUGUGGGUGCCAGGCACCGACCACGCAGGUAUUGCCACUCAGGUGGUGGUGGAAAGGUGGCUGUGGCAACAGCGGGGUUUGCGACGUCAGGAUCUGUCCCGUUCUGAGUUUUUGGAUGAGGUCUGGGCUUGGAAGGAGAGGCACGGUGACGAAAUCCUACGCCAGCUGC